rnacentral:lncRNA from 1 species
CUGUCUAGAUAUUGAUGAAUGUUCUCAAAGCCCCCAGCCCUGUGGUCCUAAUUCAUCCUGCAAAAACAUGUCAGGGAGGUACAAGUGCAGCUGUUUAGAUGGUUUCUCUUCUCCCACUGGAAAUGACUGGAUCCCAGGAAAGCCGGGCAAUUUCUCCUGUACUGGUUGCAAAUAUCAGUGAGUCCCUCACCAGCAGCGUCUGCCCUGAGCAUUCUGACUGUGUCAACUCCAUGGGAAGCUACAAUUGCAGCUGUCAAGUUGGAUUCAUCUCU